CAAAUACCCAUGCCGUGUGCCGCGUUGAAACUCUAUUGGUAGCUCGACGUCGGUGCGGUGCCGAAAACGUGCGUAGCGCAAGACCGCAACUCCACUUUAAAAGAGAAAGCGGCCAGGCCAUCGUCCGAGUUGUCCGGACUGCACCGUGAGCCAGCGUCGGUCCUCACUUGCUGGUGGUGGCUGCGCGUUCCUGACUGCACGUACUCGUAACGGCCCGGUACCACUGGGUCGGUACCACUGGGGCACGCUACCGCGCAGGCACCUGUCAUGGCUGUCCCUUUCUUGACGCAGGCCUACCUUGUGUUGGUCUUUCGAAGCCUUCCCGCCUGCCUUGCAAGCAUCGAGGGCACAGCAUAUCGCCGCUUCACAGUUUCUGGCCAAUUUUUCAACAGAACAAGGACAGAGGCUGCAACGUGGCCGCUGAUUCCCGCCAUUACUGAUGCUCUCAUCUGGCAACCUGGAGCCACCUUGUGCGCGGUCAACGCCGCUGGUCUAUUAAACCCGCCUCCGUUCCGCUGCCAGUCGGGGCACGCUACCGCGCAGGCACUUGUCAUGACUGUCCCUUUCUUGACGCAGCAACAAGGACCAGCUAUAAGCCCUGACUACUACAAAUCAUUUGUGCUUCGGAACAUCAAGAAAAUCACUGAAUGCUGUUCAAGAUAUGUCUUUGUAAUUGAUGGCAUCAGACGUCUUGGCUUCAGCAUUGGACAGCAUCUUAUAAUGAGAGCUUCUGUCGAUGGUGAAAUUGUAACUCGUCAGUACACUCCUGUCUCACCUCCGAGUGCCCUUGGCUUCUUUGAAGUCAUAAUCAAGGUUUAUCCCCAAGGAAGAAUGUCAAAGUACAUCAAGACACUCAAAGAAGGAUGCUCUGUGGAUUGGAGAGGUCCACUAGGAGGACUAGACUACAAGCCUAAUGUGCACAAGCACAUGCUACUGCUUGCUGCUGGCACUGGGAUUGCACCAAUGAUCCAGGUCUUGCACCACAUUACUAGUUCAGACGAAGAUUACACCAUGGUUCGCUUGCUUUUUGGGAUAGCAAAGUACAGGGAGAUAUACCUGAAGAAUGAGCUGGAUGAACUGAAAGCCUUCUGGAAUGUCAGCAUUCUGUACUGCCUGAGUGAUGUAAGUACAAAGGAAACAAAGGUUGAGGAUCUCAAGUAUGGAGAUGAAGUUCGCUGCAGAGAAAUUGAUGAAGAGCUUCUGGAAGUGGAGUUGUCAAAAUACCGCACACCUCCUCAUGUCCUUUUGUGUGGACCAAAUACUUUCAACAGCAGAAUUGCAUGCCAGGAGCAGCCCGGUGCCUGGCAAGAAAAAGGAGACUCAUCACAUCAUCAAAACCUGUGGAAGCGACCUCGUGGUACCAGGCAUUACUGAUGGCCAUGCUGCCAAAGGCUGUGUCCAUUCAGCCUUCGAUGAGACAAGAAGGGAAAGUGUGUCCCUCUGCAUUUCCAAAAGUUGCACACAAGUGCAAGGGCCAGCCUGGCAGCUCUCAGCAACAUGGUCAUUCUAUGUCCUCCAACCACUGCACCAGGCUGACUGGUCUGAUAGCUCAGCACAGGUAACCAGCUCACUGUCACUCUGCACAUACCUAGCCGCCGCUGGAGGGCUGAUCUGGAGGUGGCGGCUACGCCAGCGCUGCGGAGCACAAAACUUCAUUGAGCUGAUUCAAAGAAUGAGCCCAGAUCCGCUGAUCAAGGUCGUUCAACGGAAAUAUUCGCUUUUCAGAAAUUCAUUUAGCUGAAAGAUUUUUGCAUUGAAUUCAUAGGAAAACUGCCGGGGAUUUUCUAGAAGUUUGUUAUUCUGAAAUAUUCAUUAAACCGACGUUCGUUCAACUGAGAGUUAACUGUACUAAGUAUAAAGAAGCGAGAAGAAGUGUAUACAUCCCAAAAAUAUUUAAUGAUUUGGCUGAUGAAUUCUUUUUGGCAACUUCCAAAAAACAGUUGAAGAAACUAAUGAUGAAAUGUUGAAUUUUAGGUCUGAUUGUUUACUUUUGUUAUGUAUGCUUUUGUCUUUGCUAUGUCAUUGUCUGUUAACAGGUAAUACUACCAACUAUUCUUCUGAAAGUUGGCAAAAAAUGUGUUAUGUAAAUGUCUACCUUUUCACCUGUUAUGUAAAUGUGUAAACACAUCACCGUACCGACUCUGCCGGGCCUAGUCACACAAGUCUUCAUGGGCUUAGACAGGCCCGUUUUCUUGUUUUGCUUGUGGAUGUGUUUAAUUAUUAUUAUUAUUAUUAUUAUUAUUAUUGUUGUUGUUGUUGUUGUUGUUGUUGUUAUCAUUAUUGUUCAUUUAAAAAUUUCCAAAAAUUCAAGACUGCCAACUCUGGCUAGUUUCACAAAAAAA